AAGAAGUCAGGCCGGAUUAAGCCAUAGCACGGUAAGAGCUAUGCUGCCUGUGAGCCCCGUCUAAGGACGUAAAAUGAAGUCAGGCCGAAAGCCACGGCUUGAGCAAACCGUGCUGCCUGUAGCUCCAUCGUGGGGAUGUAAAAACCUGGGAGGCUGCAACCCAUGGAAGCUGUACGCAUGGGGUAGCAGACUAGUGGUUAGAGGAGACCCCUCCCGAAACAUAACGCAGCAGCGGGGCCCAAAACCAG
rnacentral:lncRNA from 1 species